ACUAGAUUUGUGCUACCGUUAAGGGAAGGCAGUUCACAUACUUCCUGUUACUGAAGGCCUUGGCAUGACCAAUAUUUACAGAAAUGUUAUGGGUUAGACAGCACACAAUUAAACUUGUCAUAACACAACUCAUCCAAGAAAAAGAUGCGAGGAGAGAUGAGAGGAUGAUGUCAGCUGGCAGACAGAGAGGGGAGAGGAGGUGCCAGGGGGCAGGAUGUUUCUCCUCUUUCCCUAAUGAGUGUGGAGUGCUUCUCACUGGACACAGGCCAGCUCCUGCUACACACCUGGGGAAACCCGGACACGCUGCUCACCGAUAUUCUGAGCUCAGCUAAUACUGUACCUCUGUAUUAAGUCUUAACGCUCAACACCUCUCACUGGAGCCUGAACAAAGAUCUCACACAGGCCAUCUCUAAUGGACAUGCAAGGUGUUGAGGACCAAAUGAAUCCCAGCGGGAUUGGUGUCAGUACACACAGAACUUUCUAUUAAUCAUAGAAUAAUGAAAAACAUAUUACAGUACAUAUUACAGUGUGUCAAUGCUGAUAAUAAAUGUUUCUUGAGCACCAGAUCUAUGUAUAGAAUGAUUUCUGACAGCUUAUAUGACACUGAAGACUGGAAUGAUGGCUGAUAAAAAUUCAGCUUUGCCAUCACAGGAAUACAUAACAUUUUAAAAUAUGUUAAAAUAACAGUAGACCAGCUGACCAAGCAAUUAAACUAGCGUAAAGCAGCAAAGGCCCUAUCUAGGAUGGUUUACUUGUAGUAGAGUGCUUCACACUCACACAUGUAUUACUUUACAGAACAUCAUAUUUUACAAUUCAAAUAUGAGUCAUUGUUUUUCCAUAGUUCAACCAAAUAGUGUGUGUGUGUGUUUUUUUUAUCCUAAAUUACCAUUCACCAUUGGGAACUGAUCCAAUUCUACAUUAUAGUGUUAUGUGUUUUUGUAUUCUUUCUCUUUUACCCAUGCACCUGUGUGUGUGCGUGUGUUCAGAUGUACCAUAAUGAGCUUUGAUGUUCCAGCUCCACCGUCUGCUGAGAGUUUUUUUUCCCUCCAUCUAAAUAUGAGCUAGUAAAUUAUCUACUAUUCUCAUUGGAACAUCUCCCAUUAAAUCAGCUAACAUUGUAAUCUUUGUAUGUUUGUGUGUGUGUGUGUUUUCUCACACUCCUUCGCUGUCAUAUAGAGAGGAUACCCCACUAAUCAUACUCCCCCGAUCUCACAACCUCCCUAAAAAACACACAGACGUGCACACUCUCCCAGUAACACAAGGUG
ensembl:lncRNA